rnacentral:rRNA from 1 species
GAGUUUGAUCCUGGCUCAGGACGAACGCUGGCGGCAUGCCUAACACAUGCAAGUCGAACGGGGAUAGCAAUAUCCUAGUGGCGAACGGGUGAGUAACGCGUGAGUAACCUGCCUCAUACAACGGGAUACCUGAGGGAAACUUCAGUUAAUACGGUAUAAGACCACACUGCCGCAUGGCAGAGGGGUAAAAGGAGCAAUCCGGUAUGAGAUGGACUCGCGUCGCAUUAGCUAGUUGGUGAGGUAACGGCCCACCAAGGCGACGAUGCGUAGCCGACCUGAGAGGGUGAUCGGCCACAUUGGGACUGAGAUACGGCCCAGACUCCUACGGGAGGCAGCAGUGGGGAAUAUUGGGCAAUGGAGGAAACUCUGACCCAGCCAUGCCGCGUGAAUGAAGAAGGUCUUCGGAUUGUAAAGUUCUUUAGUCAGGGAAGAAAAAAAUGACGGUACCUGAAGAAUAAGCUCCGGCUAACUACGUGCCAGCAGCCGCGGUAAUACGUAGGGAGCAAGCGUUGUUCGGAAUGACUGGGCGUAAAGGGUGCGUAGGCGGUUAUACAAGUUAGAAGUGAAAUACCCAGGGCUUAACUCGGGUGCUGCUUCUAAAACUGUAAGACUUGAGUACAGUAGAGGUUAGUGGAAUUCCUAGUGUAGCGGUGGAAUGCGUAGAUAUUAGGAGGAACACCAGAGG